rnacentral:piRNA from 1 species
UUGAUUCAGAUCCUGCUUAAUGCUUCC